rnacentral:rRNA from 1 species
GACGAACGCUGGCGGCGUGCUUAACACAUGCAAGUCGAACGAUGAAGCCUAGCUUGCUAGGUGGAUUAGUGGCGAACGGGUGAGUAAUACGUGAGUAACCUACCUUUAACUCUGGGAUAAGCCUGGGAAACUGGGUCUAAUACCGGAUACGACCAAUCUCCGCAUGGGGUGUUGGUGGAAAGCGUUAUGUAGUGGUUAUAGAUGGGCUCACGGCCUAUCAGCUUGUUGGUGAGGUAACGGCUCACCAAGGCGACGACGGGUAGCCGGCCUGAGAGGGUGACCGGCCACACUGGGACUGAGACACGGCCCAGACUCCUACGGGAGGCAGCAGUGGGGAAUAUUGCACAAUGGGCGCAGGCCUGAUGCAGCGACGCCGCGUGAGGGAUGACGGCCUUCGGGUUGUAAACCUCUGUUAGCAGGGAAGAAGAGAGAUUGACGGUACCUGCAGAGAAAGCGCCGGCUAACUACGUGCCAGCAGCCGCGGUAAUACGUAGGGCGCGAGCGUUGUCCGGAAUUAUUGGGCGUAAAGAGCUUGUAGGCGGUUUGUCGCGUCUGCUGUGAAGGCCGGGGCUUAACUCCGUGUAUUGCAGUGGGUACGGGCAGACUAGAGUGCAGUAGGGGAGACUGGAAUUCCUGGUGUAGCGGUGGAAUGCGCAGAUAUCAGGAGGAACACCGAUGGCGAAGGCAGGUCUCUGGGCUGUAACUGACGCUGAGAAGCGAAAGCAUGGGGAGCGAACAGGAUUAGAUACCCUGGUAGUCCAUGCCGUAAACGUUGGGCACUAGGUGUGGGGGACAUUCCACGUUUUCCGCGCCGUAGCUAACGCAUUAAGUGCCCCGCCUGGGGAGUACGGCCGCAAGGCUAAAACUCAAAGAAAUUGACGGGGGCCCGCACAAGCGGCGGAGCAUGCGGAUUAAUUCGAUGCAACGCGAAGAACCUUACCAAGGCUUGACAUAUACUGGACCGCAUCAGAGAUGGUGUUUCCCUUCGGGGCUGGUAUACAGGUGGUGCAUGGUUGUCGUCAGCUCGUGUCGUGAGAUGUUGGGUUAAGUCCCGCAACGAGCGCAACCCUCGUUCUAUGUUGCCAGCACGUUAUGGUGGGGACUCAUAGGAGACUGCCGGGGUCAACUCGGAGGAAGGUGGGGAUGACGUCAAAUCAUCAUGCCCCUUAUGUCUUGGGCUUCACGCAUGCUACAAUGGCCGGUACAGAGGGUUGCGAUACUGUGAGGUGGAGCUAAUCCCUAAAAGCCGGUCUCAGUUCGGAUUGGGGUCUGCAACUCGACCCCAUGAGGUCGGAGUCGCUAGUAAUCGCAGAUCAGCAACGCUGCGGUGAAUACGUUCCCGGGCCU